ACGGUGAACACGGAGCUUGCUCUGUGGGAUCAGUGGCGAACGGGUGAGUAACACGUGAGCAACCUGCCCCUGACUCUGGGAUAAGCGCUGGAAACGGCGUCUAAUACUGGAUAUGUGACGUGACCGCAUGGUCUGCGUCUGGAAAGAAUUUCGGUUGGGGAUGGGCUCGCGGCCUAUCAGCUUGUUGGUGAGGUAAUGGCUCACCAAGGCGUCGACGGGUAGCCGGCCUGAGAGGGUGACCGGCCACACUGGGACUGAGACACGGCCCAGACUCCUACGGGAGGCAGCAGUGGGGAAUAUUGCACAAUGGGCGCAAGCCUGAUGCAGCAACGCCGCGUGAGGGACGACGGCCUUCGGGUUGUAAACCUCUUUUAGCAGGGAAGAAGCGAAAGUGACGGUACCUGCAGAAAAAGCGCCGGCUAACUACGUGCCAGCAGCCGCGGUAAUACGUAGGGCGCAAGCGUUAUCCGGAAUUAUUGGGCGUAAAGAGCUCGUAGGCGGUUUGUCGCGUCUGCUGUGAAAUCCGGAGGCUCAACCUCCGGCCUGCAGUGGGUACGGGCAGACUAGAGUGCGGUAGGGGAGAUUGGAAUUCCUGGUGUAGCG
rnacentral:rRNA from 1 species